GUCUGGGUGUGCGGAGAGCGCGCGCGCGGCUCGGAGGCGCACCUGUGAGGUGUCCCUUGAGGAGAGGGAGGGUGGGUGCGCGGAGUCCGCGGCCUGGGGCGCUUCAACCCCUCACUUGGAAGCGCCUCGCGUCCCAGCAGAGCCAGCGGAGCAUCCUACUCAGGUGAUGAGGAACCCUCCAGGCACCCAGCGCAGAUCGCUGCUGCCGCUGGACGCCUCCAUUGUUUGACCAUAACAAGGGCCGGAUUCUCACCCAGGAUCCCAAGGCUCUUGUUGCCCUUCAGCCACUGUGGGCCCUGACUCUUGCUCUGGAAUGUCUUGGGGGUUUUGACUUCUGUCACUGUGACCUGCAAAUCCAAGAGACACAUCUCUGGAAGAGAGAGCUCCUUCCUCAAGAUCACAGAAGGAGACCGCCAGAGCAACAGCUGUGCAGGGAGACCUCACAAGGAAGGGUUGACACGCCUGGACCCGCGGUGCUUGCUUCCUGGGAGGCUCCUGUCUGAUGCGAAGGAAGCAGGAUGUCAUAGUGCCUCUGCAAGGGGAGGCUCCCGGGGACCGAGGCCAGCACGCAGGACUGCGCCCUCGGCCGCAGGGGACACUGGGCAGGCCUUUCCCUGCAAGUGAGACGAACGAGAUUAUUCUGCAAGAGGAAGAUUCCAGGGGCUUAAAAGCACAAAGGUUUGCACCCUGGCAGCCUCUUGGAAUGUUGACAGCUCAGGAUCUAAAAGAAAGUGCUGUGUUAAUGAGUUCCAGAGUUGAUGUGGAUAUACAUGUCACUUUAUAAUCAGUAAUAAUACUGAGUGAGGAACACUAUGCAGGAAGAAACCUUCCAUAGAAAGACAGGCAGGGAAAAGCUUAGGCCGACCUCAGACCUCCCGCAUAGAGCCAGCUUGAGAUAAACGCCACCAUGGCCAAAUGAGAGACUCUGAGACAGCCGCCUGUAACUGUAGUCUUUGUAAGGAAAUCUCUAAAUCACGAUACCAAAUAGGAACCAUGAUCUACAAGUGCCCCAUGUGCAGGGAGUUUUUCUCUGAGAGAGCAGAUCUUUUUAUGCAUCAGAAAAUUCACACUGCUGAGAAGCCCCAUAAAUGUGACAAGUGUGACAAGGGUUUCUUUCAUAUAUCAGAACUUCAUAUUCAUUGGCGAGACCACACAGGAGAGAAGGUCUAUAAAUGUGAUGAUUGCGGUAAGGAUUUUAGUACUACGACCAAACUUAACAGACAUAAGAAAAUCCACACAGUGGAGAAGCCCUAUAAGUGUUACGAGUGUGGCAAAGCCUUCAAUUGGAGCUCACACCUGCAGAUUCACAUGAGAGUUCAUACAGGUGAGAAACCCUAUGUCUGUAGUGAGUGUGGAAGGGGCUUUAGCAAUAGUUCAAACCUCUGCAUGCAUCAGAGAGUGCACACCGGAGAGAAGCCCUUUAAAUGUGAAGAGUGUGGGAAGGCCUUCAGGCACACUUCCAGCCUCUGCAUGCAUCAGAGAGUCCACACAGGAGAGAAGCCCUAUAAAUGCUAUGAGUGUGGGAAGGCCUUCAGCCAGAGCUCCAGCCUCUGCAUCCAUCAGAGAGUGCACACGGGGGAGAAGCCCUAUAGGUGCUGUGGGUGUGGGAAGGCCUUCAGCCAGAGCUCCAGCCUCUGCAUCCAUCAGAGAGUGCACACAGGGGAAAAACCUUUUAAGUGCGAUGAGUGUGGGAAGGCCUUCAGUCAGAGCACCAGCCUCUGCAUCCACCAGAGAGUGCACACAAAGGAGAGAAACCAUCUCAAAAUAUCAGUUAUAUAAAGUGUUUUGCUAAGAGUUAAAAAAAAAUUCUUAAAACCCAUAAGUGCCACUAGGAAGGAAAAACCCUGUAAAUACCUACAUUGAUCCAAGAAAUUUUUACAGCAGGACCCAGCAGAACAUUGUUUUCCAGGAGGCAUGUGUGAGGGUGAGUUUUUGGAUUCAUGCCAAGUGUGUUGCACAACUUGUGAAUCUGGAGCUCCUGUGAGUGUGUGCCCAGGGCAGGCUGUGAGGUCCCAGUCGUGGGUGUGCAUUUCCUGGGAUUCUGGUGGAAUACACAGGAAACCAUGGUGGUUGCACAGCCUCCCAAGUCACCUUCUGUCUACACUUAACCUAAAAGUUAGCCCAGAUACUGCCCCAUUUCAGGAACACGAUCUUCCUUCUCUUGAUCCCAGGUGAAUCCAUCUGAAAACGGCCAGCUCCCACCAAGUAGUGUUCUGGCACUUCAGAGGUUACCACUUGGUUUAGCCUCUCCAUAUCUGUCCAUGUAUCCCAUUGCAUCUGCACUCACUUUACCCGUGUAUCCUCCAAAUGCCCAUAAAUAUCCACCCCUUCCUAGAUGGCAUCAAAUUUCAUUUUAGGUUUUAGGUGACUCAUGAUGGCCACUUUGCCUAUCAGAGAAAAUCAUUGGCCAGCAUACACGCCCUUGAACUUUAAUUUUGUGAAUUCUGCUAAUCACUGUGUCACUGUUAGACUUAAUUUUCUAGUGGCUAUAUCACAUAUUUUUAACUUGAAUAUUUUUUUGUUUUUUUGGGGGGGGACAAUAGCUGAAUGUAAAUAGGGAGGAGGAAGUGAGCGGAGUUAGGAUUUUUCUCCAUCCAGAACUGCCCUCUGGGGCUCCUUUAGUAACACGUGGAGCCACUUUCCUAUAGGAAAAGCGGAUGGUAGGAGGCGUCCCUAAUAAUAGUUUCUGUUUCUGUAAUUUUGGGCAAUAAUGUGUAGGAUUACAUAUCCGUUCCUUUGUAGGCAGGAAAGUCUCUGUUAACCUCUCCUUUUCUUUCUUCAUUCAUUGGACAAAUAUUUAUUGAACACCUCCUAUGUGCCAGGCACUGUGCCCCUUGCGGGGGAUACCACUGAGUAAGACAGACAGGGGCCCUACUCGCGUGGAGUUGACUUCUGGUGGAGGAGACAGAUGAUAAGCAAGUAAACAAAUAACGUAGUGUGAGAUAGUGAUUUAAGUGCUAUGGAGAAAAUA